CCUACGGGUGGCAGCAGUCGAGAAUCAUUCACAAUGGGGGAAACCCUGAUGGUGCGACGCCGCGUGGGGGAAUGAAGGUCUUCGGAUUGUAAACCCCUGUCAUGUGGGAGCAAUUUAAAAAGAUAGUACCCCAAGAGGAAGAGCCGGCUAACUUUGUGCCAGCAGCCGCGGUAAUACAGAGGUCUCAAGCGUUGUUCGGAAGCACUGGGCGUAAAGCGUGCGUAGGCUGUUUCUUAAGUCGCGUGGGAAAGGCGCGGGCUCAACCCGCGGACGGAACAUGAUAGUGCGAGACUAGAGUAAUGGAGGGGGAACAGGAAUUCUCGGUGUAGCAGUGAAAUGCGUAGAUAUCGAGAGGAACACUCGUGGCGAAGGCGGGUUCCUGGACAUUAACUGACGCUGAGGCACGAAGGCCAGGGGAGCGAAAGGGAUUAGAUACCCGGGUAGUC
rnacentral:rRNA from 1 species